rnacentral:lncRNA from 1 species
AUGAUGACAGAUCUCUUUCCGCAGCAUUACAAUCUUAGGACUUCAGUGGUGGAAGGCCCUGGAAUGAUCAUCUGGUUCAGUCCCAUCCUUUCGAUGUGCAUGAGAACACUGGGGUCCCUCAGGCUGUGUGGCCUCAGUCGCCGAGCCCACUCAUCAAGGACUUCUGUGGCUUUUGAGCCUUUGGAAACAUUCCUUCCAAAUCCUGCUGGAGGAGCAGGGGUUGCUAAAACCACAGAUGGAAACUCGACACAGGGAGAGGCCGGGACUCCAGAAAAACUACUUUGGCCUCCGGUGAUGUGUUACCAUCAUGUGGCCCCACCACUCGACUUUACUGGUGCCAAAGUAAGAAGUCCGGUGAGUGGUCCAGGGUCACGGAGGGAGGUGGAGGCAGAUCUGCCUUCCCCGUCGGGGCUCCUUCCUUGACAAGAAACGAGUUGAGGUGCUGGGCUUGUUGAUUGAAAGCUCAGUGGCCUCUCAAUUUAGUGAUCUUUUUCCUGUACCAAAGCUAGUCUUUUUUCCUGAUACAUGAAAACCUCAAGGCUCCUUCUCUCCUUUCCGCCUCUUUCAGAGUCCCCCCCCCCCAUAGAUUCCAUCCUCCUAAAUUCUUUGGGUCAUAUACUAUGCUGUCCUGUGACCAUGCCUCCUGCUAGUGUGUCCCAGCUUCUAGCAUUGGCAAAGAUUUUCUAGAAAGAUUGUGAAGAUGCAGAUCCCCUGGUCUGAGCAUCAGCCUUCAGACGUUCUGGAUCAGGAAUCUGAAGUUUUAAUAGGAGUCCUCUGUGAUUCUGAUGCAGGGGAGCCAGAAAUCUCACCUUAACAAUCUCUCCCUUACAAUCACCCACCUCCACUGGGGGGCAGUUUUCUGCUUGUGUAAUCGAGGUCUUUGGAAUUCCCACCCCAUCAAAUACUAGCUCACCUGAGCUUGGUCACUGAGCAUUUGUUAAAGCUGAUUUCACACCUGUCAAAUCUGAAUACCAGUUCCUAUAUUCUAAGGGGGUCAUGGAAGAUUAAAAACACAAUGUUCAGGGGCGCCUGGGUGGCACAGCGGUUAAGCGUCUGCCUUCUGCUUAGGGCGUGAUCCCGGCGUUAUGGGAUCGAGCCCCACAUCGGGCUCUUCCGCUGUGAGCCUGCUUCUUCCUCUCCCACUCCCCCUGCUUGUGUUCCCUCUCUCGCUGGCUGUCUCUAUCUCUGUCGAAUAAAUAAAUAAAAUCUUUAAAAAAAAAAAACAAUGUUCAGAGUAGUGAAGAGUAGUUCUGACCAUUGGUAGUUACAGAGAAUAGGGCAUAAAAUUUCCUUCUUUGGCGUAGGCAUGGUCUUAAAAAGUGGUCUGGGGAAGACCACAAAUCUCUCGAGGUUUAAAGAAAUUAAUGGCAAGAUAUUAAGCAAGAGGCUACGUAGAGAAAAGGGUAGGAUUUUGACUGAGAGGUUUGCACAGCCCCGUAGAUCCAGGGGGGUGAGCCACAAGUCUGACCCUAGCUAGGUGACCUUGGGCAAGUCACAUGGUCUGUCCGAAGCUCCACUACCCACCUGUAGGAUAGGGGAUGAUAACGGCCGUCCUCACCUGUCCUGCCAGACUGUGGUGCGGAUCAGAUGGAAUAUAUCUAAGCAUUUUGUGGAUUAUCAGCUUCUUCGGAAAUACACGUAAGCUGUUUCCACACCAAAAAUGCAGGUGCCUAAUCCACUGGAUAGUUCUCUCAGGAUAGAAUAAAGAGACCAAUUAAAAAGCAGAUUUUCAGGAAAAACACUGACCAAAAAUAGAGCCGGAGUUGGAUCGGUGCCUCAUGUGGUCAAGAAAAGUAUUCGAUUACUGUCCCUUUAUUUGCCCAUUUCUGGGAGUUGGGGUGUUGCUGUAUCAUGUGAGUAAGGCUUUGAAAUUCCUGUUCUAAUCUUUAGUAGCAACGACACAACCUAUAAUCUCUUCUGUUUUUCCUUU